rnacentral:rRNA from 1 species
UACGAGGGGGGCGAGCGUUGUUCGGAAUUAUUGGGCGUAAAGGGUGCGUAGGCGGCCUGACAAGUCUGAUGUGAAAUCCCUGGGCUCAACCCAGGGCCUGCAUCGGAAACUGUCGGGCUUGAGUAUGGGAGAGGUGAGUGGAAUUUCCGGGUGUAGCGGUGAAAUGCGUAGAUAUCGGAAGGAACACCUGUGGCGAAAGCGGCUCACUGGACCAUUACUGACGCUGAGGCACGAAAGCUAGGGGAGCAAACAGG